AGGAUCAUUAUCAUGUAAUUCAGUCAUGCUUGCUGUGUGAGCUGUAUAUUAUAUUACCCACCCUGUGUACACUGUCCUGUUGNUUCCGCUGGGUGUAUCAGCUUGGCGGGAGGGUAAGAAUAAACUCGGAGUUUGCCAUGGAACGUGUCUGAAUGAACAAGAACCAACGAAAUGUUAAAAACUUUCAGCAACGGAUCUCUUGGUUCUNGCAUCGAUGAAGAACGCAGCGAAAUGCGAUAAGUAGUGUGAAUUGCAGAAUUCAGUGAAUCAUCGAAUCUUUGAACGCACAUUGCGCCUUCUGGUAUUCCGGGAGGCAUGCCUGUUCGAGAGUCAUUGACAACCAUCUCGAAUGCCCCCUUUUCAGUUCUCGAGGGUUUUUGGAUUUGGGGGGAAUCGGUUCUGGUGGAGGAGGGAAAUUGAGUUGCUGUGCCCCCCGCGCCCCCCCCCGGGUGUGGGUGCGGUGCAUCUCCCCUCCCCACCGAAAUUCAUAGGCGAUCUGUUAUUAACCCACAUGUUUUUAUGGCGUUGUAAAGGAGGGGCCUCGGAGUCACCGAGGAGCCACUUUUUCGCUUGUAACAAUUUGGGACCAUGGACUAGCCUUCUAAUUUUCAUUAAAUCAAAGGUUGACCUCGGAUCAGGNAGGGAUACCCGCUGAACUUAAGCAUAUCAAUAAGCGGAGGAAAAGAAACCAACCGGGAUUGCCUCAGUAACUGCGAGUGAAGUGGCAGAAGCUCAAAAUUGAAAUCCGGUACCUUUUGGUGCCUGACUUGUAAUUUGGAGAGACAAAUUUGGUUGAUGGCGCCGGCCUAGGUUCCUUUGAACAGGACAACAUAGAGGGUGAGAAUCCCGUUCCUGGCUGGAUGGCUGUCACAUUGCUAGAUUGUCUUCGACGAGUCGAGUUGUUUGGGAAUGCAGCUCAAAAUGGGUGGUAAAUGUCAUCUAAAGCUAAAUAUUGGCGAGAGACCGAUAGCGCACAAGUAGAGUGAUCGAAAGAUGAAAAGCACUUUGAAAAGAGAGUCAAAAAGUACGUGAAAUUGCUGAAAGGGAAGCGCUUGAGACCAGACUCGAACUGCGGUGAUCAGCCGUGCUCCUGCGCGGUGUCACUUGCCACGGUUUGGGCCAGCAUCGGUUCUGGCGGUCGGAUAAAAGGUGGAGGAAUGUAGCUUCCCUCGGGGAGUGUUANNNNNCCCCCACCACAAUGCGGCCAGCUGGGACCG
rnacentral:rRNA from 1 species